UACGUAGGGUGCAAGCGUUGUCCGGAAUUAUUGGGCGUAAAGAGCUUGUAGGCGGUUUGUCGCGUCUGCUGUGAAAUUUCGGGGCUCAACCCCGAACUUGCAGUGGGUACGGGCAGACUAGAGUGUGGUAGGGGAGACUGGAAUUCCUGGUGUAGCGGUGAAAUGCGCAGAUAUCAGGAGGAACGCCAAUGGUGAAAACAGGUAGCUGGGGGUGUGCUGACACUGAGACACGAAAGCCAGGGGAGCAAACGGG
rnacentral:rRNA from 1 species